AGAGGCCCGGGUAAUCUUGGAAACCGCAUCGUGAUGGGGAUAGAUUAUUGCAAUUAUUAGUCUUCAACGAGGAAUGCCUAGUAAGCGCGAGUCAUCAGCUCGCGUUGAUUACGUCCCUGCCCUUUGUACACACCGCCCGUCGCUCCUACCGAUUGGGUGUGCUGGUGAAGUGUUCGGAUCGGCUUCAUCUGGUGGCAACAUCGGGUGUCGCUGAGAAGAUCAUUAAACCCUCCCACCUAGAGGAAGGAGAAGUCGUAACAAGGUUUCCGUAGGUGAACCUGCGGAAGGAUCAUUG
rnacentral:rRNA from 1 species